CAGGCUAGUACAGUGGUAACGUGUCGGCCUCUCAUCCGAGGGGUCGGUGGUUCGCGCCCCGCCCAGGCGCGAGAAGUUGCAAUUGUCGCCUGGAGGUUACUGCUGUGGCUGGGCACCACGGUGGGUAAGGACUAAGCUCUGCCGAGUCAGCACCUGCUGACACACUGUUAGCGAGUCGACAUUAGUCGGCACAGGCCGGGCUCCCCCAUAGCCCGGGCGAGGCUCAGCUUCGCAUAUCGGACUUAUCCUUAUCCGUGGAGAGCAAAGGAUUAGAAUGGCGAUCAGGUCGAUUUUCCCCCUGAUACUUGUGGUUCUGUUUCUGUCCCUCGUGCUGAUGGUGACAGUCGCUGACAGCCAGCGACCACGCCCUCAAAAUUAUUGCCAACUUGUGAGAUAUAGAUGUGACCGAGAUCAAACACAUAUAUGCUGCCGAGGCGAAUAGGGAUAAAUCGGUCUUGGUUGAAAUACUAUUUAGAAAUUUGAGAAUGAAUACAGAGUCACAAAAAAAUCAUUGGCAUCGGAAAACGGUUAUACGAAAUUAUUUGAUUUAGAAAGAAGAUAACGAUGAGGUGGUAAUGUAUAUAAAAGGUAUGACUUUUUAAAAUGUAACCUACUGAUUAUUGAUA